UACGUAGGGUGCAAGCGUUGUCCGGAAUUAUUGGGCGUAAAGAGCUCGUAGGCGGUCUGUUGCGUCGGCUGUGAAAACCCGGGGCUCAACCCCGGGCCUGCAGCCGAUACGGGCAGACUAGAGUUCGGCAGGGGAGACUGGAAUUCCUGGUGUAGCGGUGAAAUGCGUAGAUAUCUGGAGGAAUACCGGUGGCGAAGGCGGCAUCCUGGACCGACAUUGACGCUGAUGAGCGAAAGCUAGGGGAGCAAACGGG
rnacentral:rRNA from 1 species